UACAGAGGGUGCGAGCGUUAAUCGGAAUUACUGGGCGUAAAGCGCGCGUAGGCGGCUUUGUAAGUCGGUUGUGAAAUCCCCGGGCUUAACCUGGGAACUGCAUCCGAGACUGCAUGGCUAGAGUAUGGGAGAGGGAAGUGGAAUUUCAGGUGUAGCGGUGAAAUGCGUAGAUAUCUGAAGGAACAUCAGUGGCGAAGGCGGCAUCCUGGACCGGUACUGACGCUGAGGCGCGAAAGCUAGGGGAGCAAACGGG
rnacentral:rRNA from 1 species